CCUAAACCUCCACAAGGGAAGCCCCCAUCAACUGGAGACAAGAAAUUCAACCACUUGAAGCCUAUGGGGAAAAUUCUCAUUCAAACCACCCACAGUCAGUAACACAUAGAAUACCUAGUACUGUGAAAGCUGGCAAGCAGAGAUAAAGGCAUGAAACUUCGAGAUAAAGAAGGAAAGAAACGCCACAAAGUUAACGUGGCAUCCAGAGCAUCUUAUGUUAAACUUAUUUUCUUCAAGGAACAACAAAAAAACCCAAAAAACUCCAGUGUGAACUUUCUUCUUUUCUCCAAAUAUAAUUAAUCUGGCAACGUUCUUUCACACAGAAACAAAUCUCAUUCGCUGUCUUUGAAGGCUAGCCAGCUGGUCUCUCUCUUACUUCUGAAGUAAACAGAAGACUGCUUACUUGCCUCGAGUUUAUUCUCACUAAUUAGAGAAUUGUUGUUCUGUUCACUUUGAAAACCUUCUGGAAGAUAGGAGAUCCCUUUCCCCUGCAAUUCUCUCUAAACUCAGUGCUAGAAUCUUCUCUCUUUCUGGGGAUGACUGUGAGAAAAUUCCCAAGUUUGACAGAACAAAAGCAAAGGAAUCUUUGGAAAAGGAAUUAAUUCAUGUGUUGAAUAAGAGUGGAUGAGUCUUCAUGUCUACUCGUUUGAGUUAAA